AUCAAGUAAUCCUAACAACCAUUUAUGUUGAUUUUCUAAGCAUUCCCAAGCUAUAUCACCAGGCAAGAUCCCAAUGCCUCAGCAAGAGAGCCACCUUUGCUUCCACUUUGAUCUUUCAGCAUUUCUCUUUGAACAGCUACAACGGGUGUUCAUAAGAAUAGUGAAAAACAGUCAUAUCAUGAAACCACCAAAAUGUUGAAGUACCGAUGCUGAAGGCCAUCUUUGAGUUGUUCAAAUCUAGUAUUUGUAUUUGAAUGCUGUUGAAAAGCAACAUGUGAAAUUUGCACGGUGGUGUGUAAAACUUUAUACCUCACAUCACAGUGUUUUCUGAUCAAAAAUGCUGCUGGUAUAAAAUCAACACUCAAUGUAUCUUCUGAACCUAAGAAUUUAGAUUUUAUCUCAUUGCUGAUAUUUCAAUAUAUUCACUCAAAUGAAUAUUUCAAGGUCUAUUAAAUUAAAUAAAUAAAUUACCUUCAGGAUAAAAUUCAUCAAUACUAUCUUCUACCUGCCUUUUUCUAUACAUAAAAGAACAUUACAAUGUGUCUCUAUAGUCAAAGACAAAUACAAAUCAAUUAACUCAUUGAGGUUUAACUACCUGA